rnacentral:rRNA from 1 species
UACGUAGGGUGCGAGCGUUAAUCGGAAUUACUGGGCGUAAAGCGUGCGCAGGCGGUUUUGUAAGCCAGAUGUGAAAUCCCCGGGCUUAACCUGGGAAUGGCAUUUGGGACUGCAAGGCUCGAGUGCGGCAGAGGAGACUGGAAUUCCUGGUGUAGCAGUGAAAUGCGCAGAUAUCAGGAAGAACACCAAUGGCGAAGGCAGCUCUCUGGGACGGUACUGACGCUGAGACGCGAAAGCGUGGGGAGCGAACAGG